GAUGAAGAACGCAGCGAAAUGCGAUAAGUAAUGUGAAUUGCAGAAUUCAGUGAAUCAUCGAAUCUUUGAACGCACCUUGCGCCCUUUGGCUAUUCCGAAGGGCAUGCCUGUUUGAGUAUCAUGAACACCUCAACUCUCAUGGCUUGCCAUGAUGAGCUUGGACUUUUGGGGGUCUUGCUGGCCUGUGGUCAGCUCCUCUCAAAUGAAUUAGCCUGCCAGUGUUUGGUGGCAUCACAGGUGUGAUAACUAUCUACGCUUGUGGUUUUCCACCAGGUAACCUUCAGUGAUGAAGGUUCGCUGGGGCUCAUAAACGUCUCUCCUCAGUGAGGACAGCUCUUUGAACGUUUGAUCUCAAAUCAGGUAGGACUACCCGCUAAACUUAAGCAUAUCAAUAAGCGGAGGA
rnacentral:misc_RNA from 1 species